CUAAGGAAAAAAUAAAAUUAUCAUCUUCAGUUUUGAAAGACUUAGAAAAUUCAUAAGUUUUUCUUUUUUUAAGGCAUUAAGGGCCUAUAGCUCAGCUGGUUAGAGCACACGCCUGAUAAGCGUGAGGUCGGUGGUUCAAGUCCAUUUAGGCCCACCAGUUUAUUUUAAAAGUUAUAAGCACUGUCUUAAAAAAAAGUUCUUUGAAAAGUAGAUAAACAUAGUAAAAUCAAAAAAAAU
rnacentral:misc_RNA from 1 species